GACGAACGCUGGCGGCGUGGAUUAGGCAUGCAAGUCGAACGGUAUCAUCCUUUCGGGGGUGAGAGAGUGGCGAACUGGUGAGUAACACGUAGGUUAUCUACCCUCAAGACGGGGACAACCCAGGGAAACUUGGGCUAAUACCGGAUGUGAGCAACUUUUAGUUGUUUGAAAGGUGGCGUAAGCUGUCGCUUGGGGAUGAGCCUGCGUCCUAUUAGUUAGUUGGUGAGGUAACGGCUCACCUAGGCAAUGAUAGGUAGGCGGCCUUAACGGGUGGUCGCCCACACUGGGAUUGAGAUACGGCCCAGACUCCUACGGGAGGCAGCAGUCGAGAAUAGUCUACAAUGGUCGGAAGACUGAUAGUGCGACGCCGCGUGAGCGAAGAAGGCCUUCGGGUUGUAAAGCUCUGUCUGGAGGGACGAAGGAAGUGACGGUACCUCCGGAGGAAGCCACGGCUAACUACGUGCCAGCAGCCGCGGUAAAUCACGUGUA
rnacentral:rRNA from 1 species